GUAGUUGUGGCCAAGUGGUUAAGGCGAUGGACUAAAAAUCCAUUGUAGUUUCCCUGUGCAGAUUCAAGUCCUGCUAACUACA